UGGCUUAGUUGGUUAAGGCGCCGGUCUAGCGAAUACGGAGUCGUGGGUUCGAAUCCCAC
rnacentral:tRNA from 1 species